CGUAGGGCGCAAGCGUUAUCCGGAAUUAUUGGGCGUAAAGAGCUCGUAGGCGGUUUGUCGCGUCUGCUGUGAAAUCCCGAGGCUCAACCUCGGGUCUGCAGUGGGUACGGGCAGACUAGAGUGCGGUAGGGGAGAUUGGAAUUCCUGGUGUAGCGGUGGAAUGCGCAGAUAUCAGGAGGAACACCGAUGGCGAAGGCAGAUCUCUGGGCCGUAACUGACGCUGAGGAGCGAAAGGGUGGGGAGCAAACAGGCUUAGAUACCCUGGUAGUCCACCCCGUAAACGUUGGGAACUAGUUGUGGGGACCAUUCCACGGUUUCCGUGACGCAGCUAACGCAUUAAGUUCCCCGCCUGGGGAGUACGGCCGCAAGGCUA
rnacentral:rRNA from 1 species